rnacentral:rRNA from 1 species
UGGGGAAUAUUGCACAAUAGAGGGAACUCUGAUGCAGCGACGCCGCGUGAGUGAUGAAGGAAUUCGUUUCGUAAAACUCUGUUCUAUGGGAAGAAAAGGACUGUACCAUAGGAGAAAGCUCCGGCUAAAUACGUGCCAGCAGCCGCGGUAAUACGUAUGGAGCGAGCGUUGUCCGGAAUUAUUGGGCGUAAAGGGUGCGCAGGCGGCUUUACAAGUUGGAUGUGAAAUAUUGUGGCUCAACCACAAACGUGCAUCCAAAACUGCAAAGCUUGAGUUAAGGAGAGGUAAGUGGAAUUCCUGGUGUAGCGGUGGAAUGCGUAGAUAUCAGGAGGAAUACCGGUGGCGAAGGCGACUUACUGGACUUAAACUGACGCUCAGGCACGAAAGCGUGGGGAGCAAACAGG